UUAGAAUAGGUUUAAAUUUCUAGAAAAGUUGAGAAUAGUCCAGGGAGUUUCCCUAGAUAUCAUACCCAGUUUCUCUCGUUGUUACUAUCUUGCAUGAAUGAGGUACUUUUUACCACAAUUAAUGGCCAAAGUUGAUACAUAUUAACUAAAAUCACCCUUCAUUCAGAUUUCCUUAGUUGACCCAGCAUCCUUCUUCCACUACAGAACACCAUGUUACACUGAGUUGUUGCAUCUCCUUAGGCUUCUCUUGGCUGUGACAAUUUCUUCGACUUUCCUUGUUUUUGAUGACCUUGACAGUUUUGAGGAACACUAGACAGGUAUUUUGUAGAAUGUCCCAACAUUGGGAUUUGCCUGGUGUUUUCUUCUAUGAUUAUUGGGAGAAGACCACAGAAGUAAAGUGCCACUUUCAUCACAUUCUAUCAGGAACACAUACUAUCAACAUGACGUCACGCUUCAUGUUGACCAUGAUCGUCUGACUGAGGCAGUGUUUGUUGGACGUCUCCACUGUGAAGUUUCUCCCCCUGCCGCCUCUCCACACUGUACGCUUUGAAAGGAAGUCACUGUGUGCAGCCCAUACUUAAGGCGGGGGGAAUUAUGCUCCACCUCCUUGGGGGUGGAGUAUUACAUAAAUGACCUGAAGUUCCACUGCACUCUGGAGAUGUGCCUAUUCUCUGCCAUUUACUUAUUCAUAUGUAUAUGAUUAAAUAGAUAUAUAAAUGUAAAUCAGUAUGGAGUCACGCAGAUUUAUUUUCUACUUGGGUUAUUUAUAAACCAAUACUACUUUGUUGCUCAAAUUGUUCCAGCUUUGGCCAUUGAAAGCUUUUUCAAGUGGUUACUGUGUCCCCUUGACCUGUGUGUUACUGUUUGUUCUUCUGAGCACGUUCUCACUUUCUGGCCCUGUGAAAUGCUCCUCCAGGCUCGUCUUGUACAUUCCCCGCCUGUCCUAGAAUCAGCCAUUUCUCCAGGAAGGCUGAGUUCCUUUUAUUAAAUGGUGUUAAGAACAGCUGGGGGCAGUGGCAGCAGCGUUGUGAUGUCAGGGCGUUGGGGCAGCUCCUGUGACAGACGGAGCUGGAGCGGUGGGGCAGUGGCAGAGUCUGGUGCCCGGGAGAGUGGAAUGAAUCUUACUUGUUGAAUAUCUUCUGGUUACUAGUUGGAAUCAUUUGUAAAAGAAUCAUUUUCCCCUGUGUGGAAGACACUUAGUGGCAUAUUUAAAUUAUAAGUCCAUGGAUCAAAAAGCUUUUUGAUUUCCCAAAGGAGGGACAUACCACUGUAUCAGAUGAGCUUGACAUGACAGCCAAGAUGGUGCUGUCCCAGAGACAACGAGAGAACUCAAUCGAGCUAUAGCAGAUUAUCUUCGUCCAAAUGGCUAUGAAGAGGCAUAUUCAGUUUUUAAAAAGGAAGCUGAAUUAGAUAUGAAUGAAGAAUUAAAGUAGGCUGGAGUUUUGGGGGAAAAAGGGACAUCUGUUAUUAGAUAACAAAAGAAGGUUAUGGAAUUAGAAUCAAAGUUAAAUUAAGCAAAAGAAGAAUUUAUGUCAGGUGGAUCUCUUGGUCAGAAACAAGACCCAAAAGAAUGGGUAUAUUCUGCCAGAAAAAUAUGCAUUGAGUGGUGACAGGAGUCCAGUCACUCGAGUCAUAUUCCAUCCUGUGUUCGAUGUUAUGGUCUCUGCUUCAGAGGAUGCUACAAUUAACAUGUGGGAUUAUGAGACUGGAGAUUUUGAACAAACUCUUAAAGGGAGGACAUACAGACUCUGUACAGGAUAUUUCAUUCGACCACAGUGGCAAGCUUCUGGAUUCCUGUUCUGCAGCUAUGACCAUUAAACUCUGGGAUUUUCGGGACUUUGAAUGCAUCAGAACCACGCACGGCCAAGACCACAAUGUUUCCUCAGUAGCCAUCAUGGCCAGGGGAGAUCAUACAGUGUCUGCCUCAAGGGAUGAAGCUAUAAAAAUGUGGGAAGGGCAAACUGGCUACUGUGUGAAGACGUUCACAGGACACAGAGAAUGGGUACGUAUGGUAUAACAAAAUCAAGAUGGCACUCUGAUAGCCAGCUGUUCCAACGACCAAACUGUGUGCGUAUGGGUCAUAGCAACAAAGCAAUGCAAGGCUGAGCUCCGAGAACAUGAGCAUGUGGUAGAAUGCAUUUCCUGGGCUCCAGAAAGCUCAUAUUCUUCCAUCUCUGAAGCAACAGGCUCUGAGACUAAAAGAAAAAGUGGUAAACCUGGGCCAUUCUUGCUGUCUGGAUCCAGAGACAAGACUAUGAAGAUAUGAGAUGUCAGUACUGGCAUGUGCCUUAUGACCCUCAUGAGUCAUGAUAACUGGGUGCGUGGAGUUCUGUUCAAUUCCAGGGGAAAGUUUAUUUUGAGUUGUGCUGAUGACAAGACCGUACGCCUAUGGGAUCACAAGAACAAGCAAUGCAUGAAGACCCUCACCACGCAUGAACACUUUGUUACCUCCUUGGAUUUCCACAAGAUGGCACCCUAUGUGGUCACUGGCCACGUAGAUCAAACAGUAAAAGUGUGGGAGUGCCGUUGAUUGCGUCUCCUUCAGCCCCUCCUCCCUCUUUUCCUCUGGAUGCACUCUGAUGAUACCAUGGUUACCCCAUUGAGCGCUGUUUAAAUAAAUAUUGUUCUUUCAUGUAAAUUA